rnacentral:tRNA from 1 species
CGUUAGCUCAGCUGGUAGAGCAGUUGACUCUUAAUCAAUUGGUCUGGGGUUCGAAUCCCU